AGUCAGGGACACAGAAGCCACCUGUCCCACCCUUUUCAGGACAGAGCCCUCUGCCCCAGCCCAGCAGAAUUAAGUCUGCAAGCCAUCCCCCAACUCUGGAAUCCACAGGAAUCAUAGCAGGCAGCCCUUGGGAUUCAGGUUCUCCGUCUGAAUAUCUUUUGCGAAGUCUCUCCCCUUGCUUCCCUAUGACAACAAAAUGACAAGAGGCCAGAAGGCCUCUGGGAAGGGUGUCAUGGGGGCAGAAAGACACUCUUAGGCAGCUCUGUCCACAUGCCAGCUCGGCCACUGACUAGCUCUAAGAUCUUGGGCAAGACACUUAAUGCUUGAGCCUCAGUUUCCCUCAUCUGUAAAUGGUGACAAGACUUACCUUGCAGAGUGUCACAAAAACUAAAUGAAAAAUGUACAAGUGUCCAGCACUGGGCUGUGAUCAUUGCCCACCCCCUCAGAUGAUGCAGAAGAGGGGAAAGGAUCCCCCUUCCCCCUAGAGGGAACCUACAGCCUCUACCUGCAAACCAGACUCCCUUCAGGCUGCGUCCUAGGGAGAAGGAGUUAUGUUCAGAUCUCAGAACCCCAGAGAUCCCUGUCCGUUGGCGCCGCUGAAAUUUUAAUAAGCCCGAGACAGAAUAAAAAACUGCUACAUAAUGCAUAGAAGCUGGGCAGCAAAGGCACAUCAGCUAUGGUUUCCCAAGACGGCUGCCUGGGGGCUCUUCAUGGUCCAGUAACCCAACACCCGUUCUCUGACACCCCCACUGACCACAAGCUAACAGGCGGCAGGGGUGGGCCUAGGGAACGAGACUAAGAGGAUGAGCUCCCCACACACAAACUGUGGGCUCUGAAAGAGGCAGGUGAAUUCCACCACCCGUCAAGACUCCUCAUGGAUCCUGAAUCAAUACAGGCCUCUCCACCUACAGAUGGAGGGUGACACCCAGGGCCCGGUGGACACAAGCUGCCUGACGUGUAAAGAACAAGGAUCGACCUCAACUGCUUUCCUCUCCUCUGCCCCAAGAAAGGGAAGUAAUGGGGCUUCACCAACAGCUGCCCCUUACGUGGGGAUACCUGCCCCUCUGUGAGAGAAACUAAGAUCUCUGCCAUGUAACAGGUGGUCCCCACAGCAUGAUUGGCCAAACUCCCUGGGGUGCCCACAGUGCCAGGCUGGCCUUUUAACCCACGGGAUCUUUGUGAGGGACAGAACCAGGGCUCUCAGUCACUCUGCCACCAACUCCCCAACAUUUUAAGCUUCUUGGGCUUCCAUUUCCUUUUACAGAGCUGGGGCAAAGCCCAAUCCAGGGCCACUCAAGGAAGCCCGUGAACAGGUGCUGGCCCAGAAACUGUUACUGUCCUGUGAUGAGAAACUACAGAAACAUACGAUUCAGACAAUUUCCAAUUUUAACCCAAUGAGAGGAAAGACCGUUUUUGCAAACUUGUGAUCGUUAGAGGGCCUGAGGCCCCUGAUGCUCAAGUACUGAAAUGCUCCAGACGGCGGGACUUUGCAAGCCACAGCUGCCCCCCUCCUCCUCAGGAGACCCUCCAAGACCAGCAGGUGCUACUGAAUGAGUGUGCUUGAUCCAGGGAACAGCUGAAGCACUGAAUGCAGUUCAUGGAUUCAUUGCAGAAAAAAUUCGAGAAGUGCCCUCAAAUGUGGCCAAGACAGAACCAGUCAGCAUUCUACAACCCCAGACCACCGUUAACCCAGACUGCAUCAAACAAACAUUGCUAUCUUCCCCAACUACCACCAAGUCCUCUCCAUCGGAUCCCAUGACCACCUCCAGAGCUAAUCAGGUACAGUAUCAUCCCAUCAUCUACACCAUACUUUUCACGGUUGAUUGCUUGCAGACUGGAGAAAAAGAUACUGGUGUGUUAAGGAUGUAUUGGUUCAUUCAUUCACAUAUGUGCACCAUCAUCAGAUUCCAAGUAACCUGAGAAAGAAAUAUCAAUUAUUCC